CCUACGGGAGGCAGCAGUGGGGAAUAUUGCACAAUGGGCGCAAGCCUGAUGCAGCGACGCCGCGUGAGUGAUGAAGGCCUUCGGAUCGUAAACCUCUUUCAGCGGGGAAGAACGGUCCCUGUUCAAUACUGCAGUGAAUUGACGGUACCUGCAAAGGAAGCACCGGCUAACUCCGUGCCAGCAGCCGCGGUAAUACGGAGGGUGCGAGCGUUAAUCGGAAUUACUGGGCGUAAAGCGCUCGUAGGCGGUUUGUCAAGUCAGAGGUGAAAUCCCCGGGCUCAACGUGGGAACUGCAUUUGAUACUGGCAAGCUGGAGUGUGGGAGAGGAAGGUGGAAUUCCAGGUGUAGCGGUGAAAUGCGUAGAGAUCUGGAGGAACAUCGGUGGCGAAGGCGGCUCUCUGGCCGAUAACUGACGCUGAGGUGCGAAAGCGUGGGUAGCAAACAGGAUUAGAUACCCUGGUAGUC
rnacentral:rRNA from 1 species